UAAACGACAUUACGAUAACGAAAUAUCUCAGCUAUCCAAAAUCGCGAGGGAGUUGACAUAAAAAUUAUUACAAAUCGGCAAUCUCAUUUUCAGUACGAACAGAUCAGAGAUACGAAUAUAUUGCUUAUCGUGAUAUACAAGAAAAAUUAUAGUGUUGCAAAAAUGUACAUAGUAAUAAUUACUCGUGAAAAAAGAAAUGGUUGCUGUGUCACGGAAGGUAAAAGGCGAAAAAUAAAAUAAUGUCAGAUGAAUCGGUACAACGCGCUGAGUAUAUCGGAUAAAUUGGUUUUUAUUGAUCCCCACUGUUCACGGCGACGAGUUAUGCGCAUGGUGAUCGUUAAGGUGAUUAAGAAAUCACGUGCCAUUAACGCUCAUUAAGGAGCCAGAGCUAAUCCCGGUGUAUCAAGCCUCAGUCUCCUCCUUGUUUCCUGUACUCCUUCGUCGCGUGCAUUUUUGCUUUUCCAUUCUCGUAGAGCCUAUAGUUCUCGCAUUAUAAAACAACACGAUACAUUCAAUCGUAAUCUCCUUUGCUUCUUUAUCGAAUCUACUGUUGGUAGCAAUUCUACAAUUUAUGAGAGCUUGUUCUUCUUCUAGGUAUAUCUAUGUGCUUAUAGUCCAAAGAAAUCAAUCGAAGAGCUGAACGAAGAUACAGUACAAAUACACAUUUUGGAAAAAUUAGAUAAAUAUUGGGAAAAAUGUACUAACCAUCCAACAAUUCCAUAAAUUGAAAAGUAGUUGAAAAUGAUGGCGUUAGAACUAUAUAUCUUUUAUCUUUAAAUUUACGAUUAGGUAUAUUACGCCACUCACUUUUAUGGAUGCAAGAUAGAAUGAGAUAAAUGGAUAUAAGAAAUUAAAUUAUUUGGUCUUCGAGAAAUUAAACACUAAUUACGUACGUAGAUAAUGAAAUGGAAAAAUUUACGGAGACUGAAGUUGAGCAGUUUGUCUUUUGAUCGUGGGAAACUCAUAUGCAAUCUAUACUUAUUUAAAAAAAAAUUGCAAAAAUGUUUUUUCACAGUAGUAUCGACAUGUGAUUUUUCAAUAUCUACGAACAUAUAUUGCAGAUUAUAAUACUUGGAUUCUGGCAUCCCUCUAAACCGUCCAAUUAAAAAGGAAUCUAUACAAUAAUAUACCCGCAAAUUUUACUAUUUCACAUCCAUUAUAAAUUAACUAUCUACUAUUUCCGAGAUUGGAUACAAUUUAGAGGCACGAUUAAACAAAAUCUCAAAUUCCUGUAAUUAAAAAAUCUUCGAGUCUGGUUAAAAAGCUAAAUUCUCCAAAUCAAAAAUCCACCCCAGAAAUUCGUACGUAAGUCAGAUGGAAGUGCAGAAACACGUUCGCAGGUUCCUUCCAAAAAAAGUCAAGUGCGCUGAACCGAUCUGUCUACGUCUUCCUUUAUUCCGGGACGUUAAGAAGGGUUAAGGGGAUUAGGAUGAGGAGACCAAAAGGAUGGCUUCCUGAGUCCUCUUUUAAAGGCACGCUGCUUCGGGAAAAGGUAGACUCGGAGGAGCUACCUGUCGAGUAAAGCCACGCAAAAAUAAACAGAUUUGAAGGAACGUUUAUCCAGCGGGACGGUAGUCGUAUAGCCGAGUGAAUUUAAAAGCCAUUGGACAGCGGGCGCGCGUCCGACCCUCUGACCCACUCUCGUCGAGUGGGGUCACUUUAGAAAAGGGCUGGUGACACUAAUCUGACGUUAACAGGACCGCGGUAAUCUUAGAUCCUUAUCUCGUCGACGAACAGGGACAGAAUUAUCGGCUGCUCGAUGAGCUAAGAGCCAAAAUUUCCUUCAUUUCCUCUCAUCGUUCCACUUACUCUCCUGUUCCAAUUUAACCCUUUUAUAGGAUCGUAGGGAAUCGAGCGAUAUAUAAAUUAGCAGUGUCAGAUUGACGGAUGCAUCUGUUUGUUUUUCAUGCAUGUUUCAAGAGGCUUGAACGUAUGAGUCUAUAUACCGAGGGCCACUCUUUUGUCGAUACUUCUUUUGUCGCACGACCGCGAACGACGUUAAGAAAGGCAACAUUUCAUGUAUUAUUCAACCGUGAGGAGAACGUGCCGUACGUUCUCGAGGUGGUCUUGAAAUUUCCUUGUUCUUGGACAUUUGCGCCAUCCGUAUAAUUUCUUAUUCAUAUUUUCUUGAGAUCUCUUUUUAUCGUAACGGUGUGUAAAAGAAUUGUUAGAAUUUUUCUAAAAUGACAAUUAACUUGUUUUUGUAUUACAAUUUACCGGUUGCUUCGUCCUUGAUGAAGCGUCUAAAUAUAAACGAGAAAAUAAAUAAUAUCCAUAACAAUGAACGUUACGAGUACAUAUUGUGGUCGUAGAUUGCCGAUUCCACGAACAAAUUCGAAAGGUUUGAAGUCGUAAAGUGAACACAUUGGUUUGAGUUGUUCUAUAGACUUCAAAGAAGCACCCUAAGAGUCUCUCUUGCUCCAGCUAGAGCUAUCGAAGGUUGGACGAUUGAAAAUCGUACGUGGGUUCAAAGGAAAAAGGAAAGGAAAGCGAACGCACGAUUAUGCAUUGAAUAAUUGAUCGAGAAAGUUAGGCAAGUCGCCGCACUUUUUUUUUUUUGUGAAUCAAAUCAAAGGAAGGAAACAUCGGAUAAGACAAUUAUGUGUAAUUCUGUCUCCUUUAUUAUUUUUUAGCGAGCAAUUGCUGUCGCACAAUCGAAGAAAUCAUCGGCGAGGUCUAUUAUUUCAUGCGGAGAAUCAUCUAGUCCAAAAUAAUAUUUCAUUUAAGCUAUUAUCUCAAUCAAUAUGUUCUAACGGAUAGAAUGAGCAAAAUAAAGCAGAACCUCGCAAGUAUUAAUAGAGGAUUAUAAAACAGUAAUUAAAUGCAAUUAAAAACAAACAGCUGUAUAAAGUUGAGAUAACAGAAACAAAAAACCGGUGUUGAAAAACAACAGUAAAAAAAUAAAUUAAACCACAGGUUUGAUAAACGGAAAUAAUAAAUAGGUUUGAUAAGCGGAAUUAUAAGCAGAGAUAAGAAAUAGGAGUGAAAGAUGUAUUCAAGAAAUAGAACUGAAAAGCGUAUGUAAUAAAUGGCGCUGAGCAACGUAAUUAAAGUAUCAUGCAUGAUUA